AAGGCGUAUAAGGUAGGCUUCCACUACAAUGCUUUACUGAUGAGUCCAUAGUAGUGGAAGCCGGGACGAAACGCCAA
rnacentral:hammerhead_ribozyme from 15 species